AGUCGAAGUUGGACCAAUAUCUAUAGGGUCGAUUAGAAAAGAAGCUCUCCAAGCUAAAGAGACCGAGGCUCGAGUCGAUGAAGAAGGAAACUAUGCUCGAGAUAGUUGUAAGAUU